GUUGUUUGCCUUCGAUUUCGGCAGUCAAAGAUAUCUGAAAGUCCAUAACACUACAAAAGGAAAGGUAGCGGUCCAACAUAGUGUUACAUCCCACCUCAUCAUUCCAUCAUUCACCAACAAAGGGCCAAUACUGCUCCGGUGGAUGGUCUGUAAAGAAAAAUGAGAACAUGUGGAGAUAAAGAUGGAAUGGAGUUAGAGACUUUCUUCUAUAAAUAGUUGGGAGAAGGUUUUAUUACUCAUACCUUUGGGCUUGAAAGGGAGUUAAGGAUGAGGAGGAACACCUUGGUUGCCCUUGUCACUUGGCUCAUGGUGGUGGCCUUCUUUGUGGCCACUGCAACUGCUGCUGCACAAAUGAAGGCUAUGGAGCAUGAGAUCGAUUCGCUGCGUAAGCCUCCAUGCUAUGUUCUUGUAACACACUUAAGGCAGCUAGUGGAGUAGUAAAUUUCUCUUUGAUUAUUCCUGCUUGGAUUGAACGCGCAAUGCUAAUUGUGAAGAUAAAAACUAGAAGAAUUCUCAACUUUCAGCAGAAAGAUCACUCACCACUCACCACAACAUUGAUUAUUGUUACUAAAACAAGAUAGUUUUGAGAUUUUUUUUGCCGUUAAACUUGUCUUAGCUGUUCUUAUUCUUAUAUUCUUCCUUCUUUGUUGGGAGACUUGACGACCGUUUUUCCCCCUCAAUCACUGAAGCAUG
rnacentral:lncRNA from 1 species